rnacentral:rRNA from 1 species
AAUUUAAAUCCCUUAACGAGGAACAAUUGGAGGGCAAGUCUGGUGCCAGCAGCCGCGGUAAUUCCAGCUCCAAUAGCGUAUAUUAAAGUUGUUGUGGUUAAAAAGCUCGUAGUUGAACCUUGGGCCUGGCUGGCCGGUCCGCCUCACCGCGUGCACUGGUCCGGCCGGGCCUUUCCCUCUGCGGAACCCCAUGCCCUUCACUGGGUGUGGCGGGGAAACAGGACUUUUACUUUGAAAAAAUUAGAGUGCUCAAGGCAGGCCUAUGCUCGAAUACAUUAGCAUGGAAUAAUAGAAUAGGACGUGUGGUUCUAUUUUGUUGGUUUCUAGGACCGCCGUAAUGAUUAAUAGGGACAGUCGGGGGCAUCAGUAUUCAAUUGUCAGAGGUGAAAUUCUUGGAUUUAUUGAAGACUAACUACUGCGAAAGCAUUUGCCAAGGAUGUUUUCAUUAAUCAGGAACGAAAGUUAGGGGAUCGAAGACGAUCAGAUACCGUCGUAGUCUUAACCAUAAACUAUGCCGACUAGGGAUCGGACGAUGUUACAUUUUUGACGCGUUCGGCACCUUACGAGAAAUCAAAGUGCUUGGGCUCCAGGGGGAGUAUGGUCGCAAGGCUGAAACUUAAAGAAAUUGACGGAAGGGCACCACCAGGGGUGGAGCCUGCGGCUUAAUUUGACUCAACACGGGGAAACUCACCAGGUCCAGACACAA